rnacentral:rRNA from 1 species
AUGAACGCUAGCGGGAGGCCUAACACAUGCAAGCCGAGCGGUAUGGAUCUUUCGGGAUCCAGAGAGCGGCGUACGGGUGCGGAACACGUGUGCAACCUGCCUUUAUCAGGGGGAUAGCCUUUCGAAAGGAAGAUUAAUACCCCAUAAUAUUUAGAAUGGCAUCAUUUUAAAUUGAAAACUCCGGUGGAUAGAGAUGGGCACGCGCAAGAUUAGAUAGUUGGUGAGGUAACGGCUCACCAAGUCUGCGAUCUUUAGGGGGCCUGAGAGGGUGAUCCCCCACACUGGUACUGAGACACGGACCAGACUCCUACGGGAGGCAGCAGUGAGGAAUAUUGGACAAUGGGUGCGAGCCUGAUCCAGCCAUCCCGCGUGAAGGACGACGGCCCUAUGGGUUGUAAACUUCUUUUGUAUAGGGAUAAACCUACCCUCGUGAGGGUAGCUGAAGGUACUAUACGAAUAAGCACCGGCUAACUCCGUGCCAGCAGCCGCGGUAAUACGGAGGGUGCAAGCGUUAUCCGGAUUUAUUGGGUUUAAAGGGUCCGUAGGCUGAUGUGUAAGUCAGUGGUGAAAUCUCACAGCUUAACUGUGAAACUGCCAUUGAUACUGCAUGUCUUGAGUGUUGUUGAAGUAGCUGGAAUAAGUAGUGUAGCGGUGAAAUGCAUAGAUAUUACUUAGAACACCAAUUGCGAAGGCAGGUUACUAAGCAACAACUGACGCUGAUGGACGAAAGCGUGGGGAGCGAACAGGAUUAGAUACCCUGGUAGUCCACGCCGUAAACGAUGCUAACUCGUUUUUGGGUUUUCGGAUUCAGAGACUAAGCGAAAGUGAUAAGUUAGCCACCUGGGGAGUACGAACGCAAGUUUGAAACUCAAAGGAAUUGACGGGGGCCCGCACAAGCGGUGGAUUAUGUGGUUUAAUUCGAUGAUACGCGAGGAACCUUACCAAGGCUUAAAUGGGAAAUGACAGGUUUAGAAAUAGACUUUUCUUCGGACAUUUUUCAAGGUGCUGCAUGGUUGUCGUCAGCUCGUGCCGUGAGGUGUUAGGUUAAGUCCUGCAACGAGCGCAACCCCUGUCACUAGUUGCCAUCAUUAAGUUGGGGACUCUAGUGAGACUGCCUACGCAAGUAGAGAGGAAGGUGGGGAUGACGUCAAAUCAUCACGGCCCUUACGCCUUGGGCCACACACGUAAUACAAUGGCCGGUACAGAGGGCAGCUACACAGUGAUGUGAUGCAAAUCUCGAAAGCCGGGUCUCAGUUCGGAUUGNAGUCUGCAACUCGACUCUAUGAAGCUGGAAUCGCUAGUAAUCGCGCAUCAGCCAUGGCGCGGUGAAUACGUUCCCGGGCCUUG